CUAUGCUUUAAUGUUUUAGUUACAAGUAUUUAUAAUUGCUUGACAAGAGAUGGCAUAGUCAAAAGGCAAUGCAUAAGGGUAUUCAAUGUCUCUAUUAAAUGAGCUGGAAAUUCUUCGCUUCUUGAUCUUUUAUCUCCCUUAUGUCAGCUUUUCUUUUUCUUUUUUUUAAUAAUGCAUAUGCAAAAUUAUAUCCCACUGAACUCCACAGAUCCUCAUGUGUCUCAUUAACAGAAAUAAAAUUAUAAGGUGUUAUGAGGCUCCAACUGGCAGCAACAACUAAUAUUGUUUACAGCUCUUUUUCCAACAGCACUUGCACCUUUUGGAGAACUAGUGAGAAACUAAUUUUGAUCCAUUUAGCAACUGAACUUUUCAGACAUUCUUUGUCACCCACUAGAUAGCAAGAAUUCUAAACAACGGAGAAGGCAGGGAGGAGAGUGGUGGGUGGUGCUGACAACCUCCAGGCAGCCACAGGUGUGUCAAGAGGUGCAAGACACCCACAGCAAGAGCUAGAUCAGAGGCACUUCCAUCCAACACCCACUCCCAUGAUUCCAAGCAGCACCAAGGAUUAAACCAUCUGCGCCUGACCUCCUGCAGGCCUUUGGACACCGAUGGAUUAAUCCUGGGCUUCAGCUUCCUUGAGUAGCAGAGGGGGAUUAUGGGUUGGAAAAUGAAGAAUGAGCUUGCAAGAAAACACUGAUGCUUCCCAGUAGGUCAUACUUUUUCCCCAGCUGCAUACAGAGUCUAAAACUCAACUGUAGCCAAAACAUAAAAUUAUCACAAUUUAUAGAUAUAGCAUUAUGUACUAGCUAAAUAAUUUGGGGACAAUUCCAAUACCAAUCUUAUUAGGCUAAACAUUAUAUGUAAGGGAUUCUAUAAGACUUGUUCAAAUCCAUGCAAUCAUAGUUUUAUCUGUAGGAUAAAGUAUAGCUUUCAAAGACAGAUGAGAAAAUUCAGUAAAAUCUCUCUGGCAGGAUGCAACCUUUCAAAAUUUACCUGAAAAGAGGAAUUUGAUGACGGGAUAACAAACAGGACUUUCAACAUCUAAUUUUUUUUUUCCCAUUGGCAGAUAAAAUCUGUUCUGGCAAAUUCCUAAAGCAAGCCAUUUCAGUAAAAGCAGAAAUACUAUAUGUGAAGAAUAAUAAAAUUCUCUUUACUGAAACUUCAGAUUAACAAUAGGAAAUUUCAAAUUAUUUUGACAGGAAAGAGGCUAACAAUAUUUGCCAAAUGGACUUGAUGACUGUUGAUGGAGCUGAAAGUUGUGAGCAGAAACAAAGUAACAAAGGAGGAACAGGUUGCUGAAGAGACUGACUCAGGAGCAGCCAUGAGAGAUGAUAUUCAUCAAAUAUACCGAAGGAAGUGCAUCCUAGCAUCACCUCCAAAAUCAACUACAUGCAUUCACUGGUCUCACUGUCUGCUUCUGGGGAAACCUCACCUCAAAUGAGGUGAUUCAAAUGUAAAUGACAACGGCAUCAAACUACCUCACUGGGUUCCUGUGAGGAUAAGAUGAUCAAAUGAUGGCAACUUAGAGGAGAAAGGAUGUGGCAGUGAAAGGACCUGUCAAGGCCAGAGGGGAAAAACCUCUCCUCUCGGAAGUCCCUAACGGCGUAUGUCUUUGGGUAGCUGGGUAGACAGUAGCAGACACUCACUCAGCUGAUCAUCAUGUCCUCACUGAGUCCUUACUGCGUGUCAGACACUAAGAAGCGCUGAAGUUAUGUUGGUGAGCAAAAGUGGGCUGAGUACUACCUUUGCCUGCUGUUUUGAAGAGUACCUACCCUCAACAACUUCAAAAUCUGGCAGGAAAAGACAACUGAGUGAAAGAAUUACAGCUGUGGGAAACUGGUAAAAGCUGUUGCAAAGGAGAAUUUCAAGAGAGCAAGAGAAUGGACAGUUGGUGAUUGAACCUGACUAUGAAGGUCGGGGUAGGAAGAUUUCUCUGGGGCAAUGGCACGUGAGCUAAAAUCUGCAAGGUGGGAGGAAUUAACGAGACAGGAGGAGUAAAGAAACAGGAUUCCCACAGAAAGGAGUACAAGUGCAAAGUCCCCAUGGUGGAGAAGGCGACAAGACUGGGACAAAGCUAGAGCUCAGACUCCAAGGCAGGCAUGCACAAGUGUGUGACACAAACAGACUUCAGUAGAGAUUUCUGCCUUGAUCCUACACAGAUCCUCAUCUGAGAGGAAAUCCUAUUGCUCCUGGAGGCUGGGCCACACCACGGUGCUGGGCCCAUUGGAAGUCCCCUCUGCGCAGUAUGAGUUAUUUGAGGGUAAAGAGAAGACCUUAUUUGCUUUGACCUCCUCCAAACUUAGCAACAUAACUGGCUCAAUCUCCUUUUUCAUUGAGAUGAAAUUCACAUAAGAUAAGAUAAUAUUAAUCAUUUUAAAGUGUAAAAUUCAGUGUGGUUUUUUUUUUUUGUAUAUUCACAAAAUUGUGCAACCACCACCACCUCUGCCUAAUUCCAUAACACUUUUGACUACAAAAAGAAACCCCAUACCCAUUAGCAGUCGCUCCUCAUUACCCCCUGCCCUUAUCCUCUGACAACCACUAAUACACAUUCUGUGUGUAUGGAUUUGCCUAUUUUGGACAUUUUAUAUAAAUGUAAUCAUACACUAUGUGGUAUUUUGUAUCUGGCUUCUUUCUCCUAGCA
rnacentral:lncRNA from 1 species